GACGAACCGUGCGAACGUUAUUCGGAAUCACUGGGCUUAAAGCGCGUGUAGGCGGGCCGGCACGUCGGUCGCUGAAAUCCCCCGGCUCAACCGGGGAACGGGCGCCGAUACGACCGCCCUGGAGGGGCGUAGGGGGACCUGGAACUUCCGGUGGAGCGGUGAAAUGCGUUGAGAUCGGAAGGAACGCCCGUGGCGAAAGCGAGGUCCUGGACGUCUUCUGACGCUGAGACGCGAAAGCCAGGGGAGCGAACGGG
rnacentral:rRNA from 1 species